rnacentral:tRNA from 1 species
GGGGGGUUACUCAAGAGGCUGAAGAGGACGGUUUGCUAAAUCGUUAGGUCGGGAAACCCGGCGCGAGGGUUCGAAUCCCUUACCCCCCU